CUGGGUCUCAGCCUUUUUUCAGUUCUGGGACCCCUCCCUGGGUCCCACCUUCAGUGGGAGGGCUCCUGGGAUACUGGCUCUCUAAGCAAGCCUUGAGUCUGCACCCCCAGGGUUCAAGGCUAAGCAUAAAUCAAUAAGAAACAUCACCGCCGUCUGGCAGACACCUCAGUCUUUAGAGGUGUAACAUAAAGACCACUUGCCUGUAAACCCAGUCUUCCUCAGUCCAAGAAACUUGCCUCUGUUUCCAGACCUGUAGAGUUGUUCAGCCAAAAUCCAGUUCCCUUCAGGGACCCGGAGCCAGGAGUUGUGCACUGUGUAGUAGCUGGGGAGAAACGAACAGACUGGUGCAGACGCUGGGCUCAUGUAGCUCCAGCCUGAGCCCUCUUCCAGCCUCUCAGACUGCUUGCUCUCCUAAAGGAUCAGGGGAAACAUCGUGACCACCGAGGCAGUUUUCCUAGUCGCAACGGGGGACAACCGCUUUCCUGGCACUGGGGUAGUACCCACAAAGGCUGUUUCUUUCAGUUCUGGCCAGGGCUUAUUGAUCAGCUUUGGGCCAUGGCAUUGAAGAGCUCCCAAAACCUCUGGCUUGUUUCUCCUUGGAGUGAACUGGAGUGGAGGGAAGAGUCACCAUCACCUUUUCUUUCCAGGAGUUUCAUCAGGAGCUUUGCUACCUCAAGCAUUGGUGGUUUAUGGUAGAUUUCCUGCUUGCCAUGUAGGAGACCUGGGUUCAAUUCCCAGCCAGUGCAAGUGAAUACAGUGCACAUACUAGUAGACUGAGCUAAUCCUUGACAAGUAUGGUUGUUUGUUGUAACUUUCUAUUAUUCUUUGAAUUAAAAAAAUAACCAAACCAACAGAUAUUUCAAAGCAAA